CCACGGUAAGUUUGGCUUGGCCUUAGCUGUUGCAGGAGACCUGUGAACUCUGCCUUAUAUAAUGUGGAUGUUGGGCACAGAGCUGUCAUCUUUGACUGAUUCCAGGACAAAAAUGACAGGACAUUGUGGUAGGGGACUCACUUUCUCAUCCCAUGGGUACAGAAACCAAUUAUCUUUGCCUUUCUCCACCACGUAAUGUACCAAUCAUCACUGGUAGCAAAGAUUUACAGAAUGUCAAUAUCACACUGCGCAUCAUCUUCCAGCCUGUUGCUAGCCAGCUUCCUCGCAUCUUCACCAGCAUCGGAGAGGACUAUGAUGAGCCUGUGCUGACGUACAUCACGACCGAGAUCCUCAAGUCAGUGGUGGCUCGCUUUGAUGCUGGAGAAGUUAUCACUCAGAGAGAGCUGGUCUCCAGGCAGGUGAGCAACGACCUUACGGAGCAAGCAGCCACAUUUGGGCUCAUCCUGGACGACGUGUCCUUGACAUAUCUGACCUUUGGAAAGGAGUUCACAGAAGCAGUGGAAGCCAAACAGGUGGCUCAGCAGGAAGCAGAGAGGGCCAGAUUUGUGAAGGAAAAGGCUGAGCAGCAGAAAAAGGCUGAGCAGCAGAAAAAGGUUGAGCAGCAGAAAAAGGCAGCCGUGAUCUCUGCUGAGGGCGACUCCAAGGCAACCGAGCUGAUUGCCAACUCACUGGCCACCGCGGGGGACGGCCUGAUGGAGCUGUGCAAGUUGGAAGCCGCGGAGGCUCUCGGAACAUGACCUACCUGCCGGCGGGGCAGUCCGCUCCUCCGGCUGCCCCAUGAGGGCCCACCCUGCCUGCACCUCCGCAGGCUGACUGGGCCACAGCCCCAAUGAUUCUUAACACUGCCUUACCCCCCUACCCCAGAAAUCACUGAAAUUUCAUAAUUGGCUUAAAGUGAAGGAAAUAAAAGUAAAAUCACUUCAGAACUCUUAAAAAAAAAAGAAGAAGAAGAAAAGAAAAAAAUAACCAAUUAGUUGGGCCAGGUGGCUCAUGCCUGUAAUUCUAGCACUUUGGGAGGCUAAGAGAGAAGAGCUUGAGCUCAGGAGUUCAAGACCAGUCUGAGCAACAUGAUGAGACCCCAUCUCUACAAAAAAUUUAAGAAUUAGCCAGACAUGGUGGUGCAUACCUGUAGUCCCAGCUACUUGGGAGGCUGAGGCUGGAGGAUCCCUUGAACCCAGGAAUUGAAGGCAGCAGUGAGCUUUGAUCACGCCACUGUACCCCAUCCUGGGUGACAGAGUGAGACCCCCUCAAAAAAGAAAAAAAAAA
ensembl:lncRNA novel transcript